AAUAACUGUCUAACUUACUCACAAAAUAAGUAAAUAUAAAACAUGCCUGAAUGUAAAUUACGUGUCGGUACAUAUGACACAUACGGAUAAAACACACCGACUCAUACAUGUGCACGUCACGGGACGUCACUCGAAAGUACAUAUUAUUAUCGUUAAUAUUAUUUUGAAGAAAUUAGAUACUGACUGUAUCUAAUAGAGACAAAAUGAAAUUUAAAAUAUCAAUAAAACAUUUCACACCCAGAUUCUUUACCAAAAAUCUAAGUUCACUAUAUUACUGCGACCUCUUUUAACGGCGGUUAGGGGAACCGAAACAUGUGUGAAAUAUCACCAGUUUACUACGUGAGGCCGCGGACACAUGUGCUCACAAUCUCCACCCAUCUCGACCCAUCUCAACUAGCUCAUUAUGCAUGCGACCCAAACGUACCUGACACAUUGUAUUUUUAUCUAAAGAUCGUAUUAUAAUAUUAAAACCGGGCUAGGAAGUAAUAGAUAAGGAUGAAGGAACCUGACUCGCUGCACGUCGCACCAGGGUAGACUUCGUAAAGGCCAACGUAUAAAACCGUGCAGUAAUUUUGAAACGAAAUAUAAAGGUGUCUCUGUUAAUCUACCAUUUAUAUUUUGACACACCUUUGCAUUAGAAUGGAUACGAAAACUACAAAACAAGACCUUGAGCCACCCUUGCCAUCAUAUUAUAUUGCUUACAUCGGCUCAAACCUCAAAGAAGUUGGGUCACGAAUCAGAACUCCAACACGCAGAGGCAUUGCAUAGAACUUUCAUCUAAAAUGUGAUGUCCGGAGAAUCUACUAGGAAGUCCUUCCCCGCUCUUUGUGAGACCAGAUAUAAGAAUCCAGAACCAUGAAUAAAGAAAAUUAUAAUAAUUAAAUCUGAAGGGAAACAACGGCUUUUUAAGACAUAAAAAUUUUUGUCCUAAAAAAAUGCGCACGUGUAUGCACCUUAAUAGGUCCUUUAGCUGGCUGGUGUCAUGCAACACAAGCCGCCGUAUUCGUAAUCAGUCAGGAUAUUAUUAAGGAGUUAAAAGGUAUCACAACCGACCUUAAAACCCAUCAUGCCUCUGCACAUUAUUAAAUGAUGUAACGGUUUACUCGCGCUUAUUUAUCAGGGGUGCCCGACUAGUUUCGGACCCAACCGGAGUCCAUAAUCAUGAGCUGACGCGGCGGGAUCCUGAGUCGAUCCCACUGCGUCAGUCAAUCAGUCAGUCAGGGAGUGAGUAAACCUUUACAUCAUUUAAUAAUGAAUCAGUCUCACGAUAGUUAUUAUAAAUAUGCCUCUGCAGAAUCAAAUAACUACUUCAUCAAUAGGUUGCUAAGCCAUUUAAUAACUUACAAAUGAUUAGUUGUCGUAACAUAGAGUAAAUAAAACGCAGUUGUUAUUAUCAUAAUUUUAUUGCUUAAAGAACAUUUCAGGCACUUUGAUAUGGACAGAUAUCGUUCACACUAAUAUACAGCUUAUUCCCUU